rnacentral:tRNA from 1 species
GGUCCCAUCGUCUAGUGGCCCAGGACGCCACCCUCUCACGGUGGAAACACGGGUUCGACUCCCGUUGGGACUGCCA